UACGGGGGGGGCAAGCGUUGUUCGGAAUUACUGGGCGUAAAGGGCGCGUAGGCGGUUGGAUAAGUCAGCUGUGAAAACCACGGGCUUAACUCGUGGCCUGCAGUUGAGACUGUCUGGCUUGAGUGUGGGAGAGGAGAGUGGAAUUCCUGGUGUAGCGGUGAAAUGCGUAGAUAUCAGGGGGAACACCGGUGGCGAAGGCGGCUCUCUGGACCACAACUGACGUUGAGGCGCGAAAGCUAGGGGAGCAAACAGG
rnacentral:rRNA from 1 species